rnacentral:rRNA from 1 species
UACGUAGGGGGCGAGCGUUGUCCGGAGUUACUGGGCGUAAAGCGCACGCAGGCGGUCCGUUAAGUUUGGAGUGACAAUUGGUGGCUCAACCACCAAAGUGCUUUGAAAACUGACAGACUUGAGGGCUUCAGAGGGACACGGAAUUCCGGGUGGAGUGGUGAAAUGCGUAGAGAUCCGGAGGAACACCAAAGGCGAAGGCAGUGUCCUGGGGAGUACCUGACGCUCAGGUGCGAAAGCCAGGGGAGCGAACGGG